CCUACGGGAGGCAGCAGUGAGGAAUAUUGGUCAAUGGACGCAAGUCUGAACCAGCCAUGCCGCGUGCAGGAAGACGGCUCUAUGAGUUGUAAACUGCUUUUGUACGAGGGUAAACGCAGAUACGCGUAUCUGUCUGAAAGUAUCGUACGAAUAAGGAUCGGCUAACUCCGUGCCAGCAGCCGCGGUAAUACGGAGGAUUCAAGCGUUAUCCGGAUUUAUUGGGUUUAAAGGGUGCGUAGGCGGUCGGAUAAGUUAGAGGUGAAAUCCCGAGGCUCAACUUCGGAAUUGCCUCUGAUACUGUUCGGCUAGAGAGUAGUGGCGGUAGGCGGAAUGUAUGGUGUAGCGGUGAAAUGCUUAGAGAUCAUACAGAACACCGAUUGCGAAGGCAGCUUACCAAGCUACUUCUGACGUUGAGGCACGAAAGCGUGGGUAGCAAACAGGAUUAGAUACCCUUGUAGUC
rnacentral:rRNA from 1 species